CUUUGGAUUCGUGCCAGAGCCAUAGUCAAGGUAGAUUCAUAAUCUAGGUCUUGUCUUCGUUCAUAAAUUUUGUCUCAAAAAAUGAAACCUUUCUUUACCUCAACGCACUCCCUCGCCGCCAGCGUCCUCUCCCUCCUCCCCUUCUCCCCUUUCAACGCUACCUCGGCAGCGAAGGUAGCGACGACCCCUGUUUCGUCUCGGACCUCGCUCCAUGACCUUGCCCUUUCUCCUCCCGGCUUCCGGAUCUUCUUCUCACGGAACCGUGAACCAGGGGACAACGUCGCCGUCGGGCUCGGCUAUUAGGAGCUUUGCUUCCGGGGUGAGGAUUGAGGGGUUGGUGUCGAGCUCUAAGGGUGGAGGCGGGCCGGCUUACAUGGGACAGGUCUUUAGCAUGCUUAAUCCCUCCGGCAAUGACCUCAAGGCAGUCACCACUCGGUUCGACAAAAAGGUUUUGGUGCAAAAGCUGGUGGCUUGUGGAUAUGUAUUAUAUUCGGGAUAUAUACUGGGAACAAUUGAGAAAGUUCUUGUCAACAAAUUUUGUACCAGCUAAACCACUUCAGAUUCAGAGGUAAAAAUUAUGAACAUUGGUCUGUAGAAAUUUGUACAGUUGAAUUUUCUCAUUGGGCUUUUUGUAGCACCAGUACUGACUGUCAUUACCCUGAUAAACUUAAAUUGUAACUUUUUGUCAACCUUCCCUUCCAAAGGGCGGAAACUAAGAACCAGGAUUAAGCAGCCGAAACGCUGUGAUUACGAAUCCUAAGAACCUUUUUGUUCCAAUUUGAAGCUUGGUGUUGUCCCUGAAAUAAUGAAACUAUGCUUCUGCAAUCCUACCUAUAUAGAUAUCUCAUAAUUGCAUUAUGCUUUGCUUUUUAUCAAAGAUUUCCUUCAAGAUCAACGAUACCAGGAAUAUCAACGAACCCAAUUCUUGCAAUUGUUUUUGGAUAAAACCAAAUGAAAUAAUUUGUUUGAGAUGUCGAAGUAAACAUGUGCAUUAGCUUAUAUGUUAAUAGGUAUUGUUCGACCCUUAGCAGCAAACUCUUUCAAUAAUAGUAAUACGGUGUUGUUUAGGCUUUCGGUUUUUACACAAUAUUAUCUAUAGAAAAUGAAACAGAAGAUUCAGAUGAAUAACCUUACUAAAACUUCAUUAGGUCAGAUGAGUUGCUUGUGGAGAUUGUUUUACCUACAAAGUAAUUGGUUUUAUUUUAGACUUUGAUAGACAUCCUUGACGACAAUUACACGCUUUUAUUUUACAUGCUCAGUAGUUGAACUUGUCGCAAACUUGAUAAAAUCUAAGAUGUUGCUUCAUAACACUUGUGUUAUUCUUCACUUGUACUCCAUGUUUGUGAUUCCUUCCGCAAGACUCACCGCUACUGAAUGCAUCCUUGGUACUCAAUAGACGAAGUCGGAGACACGGGUGGUACCUUUAUUUACUUCCGAAUUCUCAAUAGCAUGCCAGUUGGAGAAUUUGCGGGUGAAAUGCAAAGCUACAUUGGCAUUCUCGUUCGAGAAAAGAUCUCAAUAACUUACAAAUCAUGGAAGCAGGUGCCAAAUGAUGUUAAAGAGUUAAUAUGAGAAUCGAUGAAUCUGACGUACAAUAUUGACCCAACUUGGAGGAAAGGAUGCUUACAUUCAGCAAAUAAUAAAUGACGUCAAUAUAAAGCUUUUCUCACUCAAAAGUUUGUUUUCAGCAAGCUAGAUAAACCUGAUGAGUUGAAAGAUCCACCGAUUGGUUAUGGUAUUUCACAAGAUGAUUGGAGUUCCUUUGUAAUAACUCGCAUGUUUGCCGACUUCAGGUAGAGAGUAAGUGAUGAACAAAAGAAUAGAAGAAGGCAGAACGUAUACCCUCAUCGGCUGUCCCGUAAAGGAUAUGCAUGUUUCGCUGAUGAAAUUGCAUCUGAUUUAUGUGAUGAUGAUGAUGAUAUAAAUCGAGUUAUUAUUUGGAAGAGAGGACGAGCCAAUAAGGAGGGUGAAUUUGAAGGCGAUGAUCUCAAAAUUACAGCAAAAAAAGAUUUUCAUGAAAACAAUUUACUCCAACGAAGAAAUUGACGAAGUACAAUCUGAAUAGGUGGAUUGCGUACUAUACUAUAUUCAUUACUAGGUCGAGCAAUUCAUGAGGCUUGAGUUUUUUUUAUGCAAG